UGCUAAUAACCAAGCCCAACCAAUAUUACAAACAAAAUAAAAUCAUAUAUUAAUUAAAUCAUUUUAACUAACAAGUAUAUGAAAUAGAAAAUUAACUCAGGCGCAACAGCCACAAGUACCAUAAGGGAAACUUGAAAAAAUAAUGAAAACUAAAGCAAAACAAAGCAAGGAUUACCCCCUGUACCUCCUGCAUUAUGGUCUAGCAAGUCUACCCAGGUUUAACGAAGCUUUAAUCUGACCUCCCGAAUCCAGUCGAUCUAUUUUAAGACAGCCAAUCUACUAUUGGGCCAACCCGUCUCUGUGGCAAAAGAGUGGGAAGAUCUUAAAAUAGUGGUGAAAAGCCAAUCGAGUCUGGCGAUAGCUGGUUGCUCAUUAAAUGAGUCUAAGCUCAACUUUAGCCUAAAACUAUAUACUUAACAAUAAGUCAAUGCAUAGCUAAAAGCUAUACGAUAAGGGUACAGCUUUAUCGUAAUCGAAUACAUCCGAAAUUAGAGAGCUAAUACAAAUUAAUCCUACCAGUUGGCUUUAAAUCAGCCACCAUCAAAAACCGCGUCAAAGCAUUAACCCCAAAAAAUUCAACCAUCACCCAUUAUCUCCUAUUUUCACACUGAGCUAUUCUAUAAAAAUAGAAGAACUACUGCUAAAACUAGUAAUAAGAAACAUUCUCUCAGCAUAACCUUUAAUCAUAACAGAUAAACUACUGAUAAUUAACAGACUAUAACCAGCACUACAACCCCUAACAAGCCAUAUUGCAUGAUUAACUGUAACCCCAACACAGGUAUGCUAAAAGACAGAUUAAAAAAUAUGAAAGGAACUCGGCUAAUAUGCCCCAACUGUUUACCAAAAACACAGCCUUUAGCACUACAAGUAUUAAAGGUGAUGCCUGCCCAGUGAUCUAUGAUUAAACGGCCGCGGUAUCCUAACCGUGCAAAGGUAGCGUAAUCACUUGUCUCCUAAAUAGAGACUAGUAUGAAAGGCUAAAUGAGGGCCUAACUGUCUCCCAUAUUUGAUCAAUGAAACUGAUCUCUCAGUACAAAAGCUGAAAUACACCCAUAAGACGAGAAGACCCUGUGGAGCUUUUAAUUAACUCACUACUUAUACAUCUAGCAUUAAGAUAAUGACAAAUUUAAGUUGGGGCAACUUUUUAAAAAAAGAAAACUUACAAGACAAUAAACUUUAUCGCCAAGGAUUACAGCCCAAAGCGCUAUUUACUAGACCCAGUAUAAACUGAUCAACGAACCAAGUUACCCCAGGGAUAACAGCGCAAUCCUCUUCAAGAGUCCAUAUCGCCAAGAGGGUUUACGACCUCGAUGUUGGAUCAGGACAUCCUAGUGGUGCAGCCGCUACUAAGGGUUCGUUUGUUCAACGAUUAACAGUCCUACGUGAUCUGAGUUCAGACCGGAGCAAUCCAGGUCGGUUUCUAUCUAUGACCAAAACCCUUCCCCAGUACGAAAGGACCAGGAAGAUAGGGCCCAUGCUAUAAGCACGCCCUAAACAGAUAAGGAAAACAACUCAAACUCACUUAACUACACUCGCCGUAGACAACGGCUU